UGCUGAAGAUGUGGACAGACCUAAAGAAAAUCUUUGAACCUCUCCCAUUCAUGAUAUAAGUUCUCAUCUAUCUUUUAUUUGAAGCAUAUAAUCUUACUGUUCAAUCU